CGAGCUAACCGAGUAAUCGCUGAUUUUUUAAAUCAGAGGAAAGUCCGGGCUCCGAAGGAUAAGACGCCAGGUAACGCCUGGGAGUAACGAAAGUUAUUACGGCUAGUGCAGCAGAAAAUAAACCGCCUAAUUUUAGGUAAGGGUGAAAAGGUGAGGUAAGAGCUCACCGUAUAUCUGGAAACAGAUAUAGCUAGGUAAACCCCGUCUGGAGCAAGACUAAAUAGAGAUUCUUUAAUGUUAUCCGCAUUGAAUCUGGGUAAGUUGCUAGAGAUUUAUGGCGACAUAAGUCCAAGAUGAAUGAUUACAUAAAACAGAACCCGGCUUAUGGGUUAGCUCUCUAU
rnacentral:RNase_P_RNA from 1 species